AAAGUAGUUCAAGCUUUGGUUCCAAUCUUUAGACCUUAAACUCAUAUAGAAAACCUUGCUGAAAGAUCACAUAAGUUGCUGGGAAGCUGUAGGAGUAGUUAACCAAGUGGAUUAAGGAAUUUCGUGGCUUUAAGCAUCCUUAGUUAAGAGUCAAACAUCGUUGCAGGUUUGGUGUUGUGAGCUCAGGAUUCUGAAGUGAAGCAAGAUAAAGAUGUCGUCGUAGCUUAUGGAUUGAGUUUGUAUUUUAGAUAGUCAAUUAAGGAAUAGUUUCUGAUAUAUUUCGUUGUAUACAAUAUUUGGGAAUAUUAGUCGAGAUAUCGGUGUAAUUGAAGUCUUAUAUAAAGGAUUUUGUUUUGUGGGCCAAUAACCCACAAGUCCAGGAUCGUUUUCUAGGUUAUGUUUCCGU